rnacentral:rRNA from 1 species
AGAGUUGAUCCUGGCUUAGGAUGAACGCUAGCGGCAGGCUAACACAUGCAAGUCGAGGGGCAGCGUGGAGUAGCAAUACUCUGACGGCGACCGGCGAAAGGGUGAGUAACGCGUGAGCAACAUGCCCGAUACUGGAGGAUAGUCGAUGGAAACGUCGCGUAAUACUCCGUAACAUAGGGGACCGCAUGAUUCUCUAUUAAUAGAUUUAUCGGUAUCGGAUUGGCUCGCGUACCAUUAGCUAGUUGGCGGGGUAACGGCCCACCAAGGCGACGAUGGUUAGGGGUUCUGAGAGGAAGGUCCCCCACAUUGGAACUGAGACACGGUCCAGACUCCUACGGGAGGCAGCAGUGAGGAAUAUUGGACAAUGGCCGAGAGGCUGAUCCAGCCAUGCCGCGUGCGGGAGGACGGCCUAUGGGUUGUAAACCGCUUUUGUUGGGGAGCAAUAAGGGUCACGUGUGACCUGAUGAGAGUACCCAGCGAAUAAGCAUCGGCUAACUCCGUGCCAGCAGCCGC